rnacentral:ncRNA from 1 species
ACACUUCGUCCUACUCCCCGCAAACCGAGACCUCUAGGGAGUCUAAACGCACGUCUCUAAUACCUACGCCUGAGGGUGGUGUAGGAAUAUUCUAUCCG